CAAUAGCGUAUAUUAAAGUUGUUGCGGUUAAAAAGCUCGUAGUUGGAUUUCUGCUGAGAACGACCGGUCCGCCCUCUGGGUGUGUAUCUGGCUCUUUCUUGGCAUCUUCUUGGUGAACGUUGCUGCACUUGACUGUGUGGAGCGCUACCCAGGACUUUUACUUUGAGGAAAUUAGAGUGUUUCAAGCAGGCAUACGCCUUGAAUACAUUAGCAUGGAAUAAUAAGAUAGGACCUCGGUUCUAUUUUGUUGGUUUCUAGAGCUGAGGUAAUGAUUAAUAGGGAUAGUUGGGGGCAUUCGUAUUUAACGGUCAGAGGUGAAAUUCUUGGAUUUGUUAAAGACGGACUACUGCGAAAGCAUUUGCCAAGGAUGUUUUCAUUGA
rnacentral:rRNA from 1 species